GGCUGUGGUCCUCUUCUGUAGCGGAGGUGCAGAAGCAGGCAUCCCGCUGUAACGAUGACGUGACUGCCUCCGAGAGAGUCCAGGAGCUCAGCUCUGAGCUGUUCUUCAUCAAGGGUUUACAGGGUCUGGUGACAUUCCAUUUCCACAAGGGAGUUGACUGGUGUGGGCUGUAGAAGAGCCAGCGAGCCUAGUGUAUGGCAGGUAAGAAGACACGGAGGGACGCACGCAAACUACCUGCCCUCCAGGACACCUACAGCACCCGAUGUCACAGGAAGGCCUUAAAGCUCAUCAAGGACAACAACCACCGGAGCCACUGCCUGUUCACCCCGCUAUCAUCCAGAAGGAGAUCUCCAUCUUCAGUCUGGACAGCUGAGGGCAGACGGAGCAGACGGAGCUCCUAUGAAAUACAGCGCUGUAAUCAAGAGGCCUAAUGAGACAUCGUCGUGGAAACUACGAUAACGCACACACAUCGAUAAGACAGACCGAGCUCUGCUGAAUAAGCUUACUUGGACAGUAUUGUGCGCUUGACAACACACACAUGAUCACACACACGUCAUUGCACAUGUUCUUUUGUAUGUAUUAGAAAAGCCUUUUUUUUUAAAUUUAACUUCAUGGUUUAAUUACCAUCGAGGAGCCAAGGCUCUGAAGUAGCACUGAAGCAGUGUUAUUUAAAUACGGCCUGGACCGCUUUGAAAUGAACUGUAAAAGUGCCGAUACUGCAAUGAAUAACGUUUUAUAUUUAGCAGUUUUGACCCUAUGUAAUUUUUCGCAAAAGUAUAUACACAGUCGAUGUGUGAAGAUAGUUUACACCAUGUUUAGUUUAAAUUAAGCUGUUCUAUUAAUGUCGAGUUUUACAGUAACUCAUCAUUUCAGUCGCAAUUCUUUGAUUAGUGGUAGCAGUCACCUUGCAAUAACUUGUUUUUCCCCAUCAAUUCAUAGUAUGACACUGUCCCACUUUAAAUGAAUUACUUUAAAGGUUUAAUAAACCCUUUUUAUAAUGACUAUUUUAAAGCAAAUUCAUACAACAGGAUAACAUGACUCUCAGCCAAGUGCUUUGCCAUGUGUAUUGGGACCACAAAUGUUCCGCAAAUGUUUAAGUUGCCAGUAGGAAGGAAUUCUUGAUACCAUAUUCAAACUCACAAAUCAAAUACGUUGAUAUAGCAAUUUUACUAACUAGUGUAACUCCCAGUCCUCAACUCCUGUUUAGUCUCUGUGCCCAGAUUAGGGAUUACAUCUGGAUUUACCUUCAACCAGUGGUGUAAAGUACUUAGGUAAAAAUAGUUUGAAGUACUACUUAAGUCGUUUUUUGGGAUAUCUGUACUUUACAAUUAUAUUUUGGAGUUUUUACUUCGCUACAUUCCUAAAGAAAAUAUAAUUUUUACGCUGUAAAUUUUUACUGACAUCCAAAAGUACUCAUUACAUUUUGAAUGCUUAGCAGGACAUGAAAAUGGUUCAAUUCACGCACUUGCAGUAUCAAGAUUACAUCCUUGGUGAUCGCUACUGCCUUUGAUCUGGUGGCCUCACUAAGCACCAAUGCUUCAUUUGUAAAUGUCUGAGUGUUGGCAUGUGCCUCUGGUGAUCUGUAAAUAUAACCAGACAGCACAAUUUUCUUGUUUUUCUUAACAUAAGGAAUUUGAAAUGAUUUUUACUUUUGAUACCAAAUACUUUUUCUCAAGUAAUAUUUUUCAGGGUGACUUUUGUGUCAUUUUCUAUUAAGAUAUCUUUACUGUUACUCAAGUAUGACAAUUGGGUACUUUUUCCACCGCUGCCUUCAACUCUGGUUUCUCUUCAGUAACUAAUAAACCUUUCGCCUUUCACUAAGUAAUUACAAUUUGGAGUCAAUGAAAUAUAAAAACACCAUGUGCAGAGCUUUCUAUUUUGAGGGCUAUUUUUGUGAAAGAUGUGAUUCUAUAUCCUAAUCUGGCCACAUACAAAACAUGAAUUGAGGAUUGGGUCUGUCUGCACAACUAAGAACCUCUUUCCUUUUUACUUGUUCAGCAUGUGUCUUCUAGGCCUCGCAUGCAAAGAAUUCAAGCUGUUUCAGAUGUAAGGGAAAUAUUAUGGACUUGAUUGUGACAAUGUAG
rnacentral:lncRNA from 1 species